UACGUAGGGUGCAAGCGUUAAUCGGAAUUACUGGGCGUAAAGCGUGCGCAGGCGGUUUUGUAAGUUUGUCGUGAAAGCCCCGGGCUCAACCUGGGAAUGGCGAUGAAGACUGCAAGGCUUGAAUCUGGCAGAGGGGGGUAGAAUUCCACGUGUAGCAGUGAAAUGCGUAGAGAUGUGGAGGAACACCGAUGGCGAAGGCAGCCCCCUGGGUCAAGAUUGACGCUCAUGCACGAAAGCGUGGGGAGCGAACAGG
rnacentral:rRNA from 1 species